UAGUACGUCUAGUUUAGCUAUUUGUAGCCUAAGGGACUAAUUGUGAAUAAAAGGUUCCUAUUUUAACUGGAGUAUUUCAAUAGUUUAUAAAGACUUGUGUUGGAUGGUUGGGGUUGAGGAUCCUGGGCUUUGUGCUGGUUUUGUUCUUCCAGCUCCAGGGAUCAGUGCUUCACCGUCAGAGGAGAACAUGCGCUACUUCAAUGUGAUGAUCCUUGGCCCAUCUCAGUCCCCAUAUGAAGGAGGUGUAUUCAAACUUGAGUUGUUUUUGCCUGAAGAAUAUCCAAUGGCUCCACCAAAGGUCCGCUUUCUGACAAAAAUUUACCAUCCGAACAUUGACAAGCUUGGGAGGAUAUGCCUUGAUAUCUUGAAGGACAAGUGGAGUCCUGCCCUUCAAAUCCGAACAGUUCUUUUGAGCAUUCAAGCACUACUCAGCGCUCCAAAUCCCGACGAUCCGCUUGCUGACAAUGUGGCAAAGCACUGGAAGGCCAACGAAACAGAAGCUGUGGAAACAGCCAAAGAGUGGACCCUUGUAUACGGCAAUGAUGGAUGAGCUUUGCAUGAUCCGGCUGCUUGCUUGGUAAUACUAUCCACGUGAUGCAGGUGAAGUCGACGGUAGUUGGUUUAAAAUUGAGUUAGAAGGGAUCAAGUACUGAAAUGGGAAAUUAUCCUUGCAUCGCGUGUACCGAGUGUGAUGUAUAUUAUUAGCCUAGUUGGGCUGCGGUAGACCCAGGACUGGCCAAGCGACAUUAGAAAUGAACAUCCUGGCCAUCAUACAACUUACGAAGUGCGGAUUAGAUUUGAUCUAUGGUCCCUUGUUAGAAGG